CACGUGGGCAACCUGCCCAAAAGAGGGGGAUAACACUUGGAAACAAGUGCUAAUACCGCAUAACCAUAGUUACCGCAUGGUAACUAUGUAAAAGGUGGCUAUGCUACCGCUUUUGGAUGGGCCCGCGGCGCAUUAGCUAGUUGGUGGGGUAAAGGCUUACCAAGGCAAUGAUGCGUAGCCGAACUGAGAGGUUGAUCGGCCACAUUGGGACUGAGACACGGCCCAAACUCCUACGGGAGGCAGCAGUAGGGAAUCUUCCACAAUGGGCGAAAGCCUGAUGGAGCAACGCCGCGUGGGUGAAGAAGGUCUUCGGAUCGUAAAACCCUGUUGUUAGAGAAGAAAGUGCGUGAGAGUAACUGUUCACGUUUCGACGGUAUCUAACCAGAAAGCCACGGCUAACUACGUGCCAGCAGCCGCGGUAAUACGUAGGUGGCAAGCGUUAUCCGGAUUUAUUGGGCGUAAAGGGAACGCAGGCGGUCUUUUAAGUCUGAUGUGAAAGCCUUCGGCUUAACCGGAGUAGUGCAUUGGAAACUGGGAGACUUGAGUGCAGAAGAGGAGAGUGGAACUCCAUGUGUAGCGGUGAAAUGCGUAGAUAUAUGGAAGAACACCAGUGGCGAAAGCGGCUCUCUGGUCUGUAACUGACGCUGAGGUUCGAAAAGCGUGGGUAGCAAACAGGAUUAGAUACCCUGGUAGUCCACGCCGUAAACGAUGAAUGCUAAGUGUU
rnacentral:rRNA from 1 species